UAGGGAAUCUUCGGCAAUGGGGGCAACCCUGACCGAGCAACGCCGCGUGAGUGAAGAAGGUUUUCGGAUCGUAAAGCUCUGUUGUAAGAGAAGAACGUGUGUGAGAGUGGAAAGUUCACACAGUGACGGUAACUUACCAGAAAGGGACGGCUAACUACGUGCCAGCAGCCGCGGUAAUACGUAGGUCCCGAGCGUUGUCCGGAUUUAUUGGGCGUAAAGCGAGCGCAGGCGGUUUAAUAAGUCUGAAGUUAAAGGCAGUGGCUUAACCAUUGUUCGCUUUGGAAGCUGUUAAACUUGAGUGCAGAAGGGGAGAGUGGAAUUCCAUGUGUAGCGGUGAAAUGCGUAGAUAUAUGGAGGAACACCGGUGGCGAAAGCGGCUCUCUGGUCUGUAACUGACGCUGAGGCUCGAGAGCGUGGGGAGCAAACAGG
rnacentral:rRNA from 1 species